rnacentral:rRNA from 1 species
ACGAACGCUGGCGGCUGCUUAACACAUGCAAGUCGAACGGAGUGGCGAACGGGUGAGUAACGCGUGAGCAAACUGCCUAUGACAGUGGGAUAGCCUCGGGAAACCGGGAUUAAUACCGCAUAGUCAUAGAUGGGCUCGGGUCUGAUUAGCUAGUUGGUGAGAUAACAGCCCACCAAGGCGACGAUCAGUAGCCGGUCUGGGAGGAGGCACGACUACAUUGGAACUGAGACACAGUCCAAACUCCUACGGGAGGGAGCAGUGGGGAAUAUUGCACAAUGGGGGAAACCCUGAGGCAGCGACGCCGCGUAAACGAAGAAGGUAUUCGUAUCGUAAAGUUCUGUCCUAUGGGAAGCGGUACCAUAGAAGAAAGCUCCGGCUAAAUACGUGCCAGCAGCCGCGGUAAUAC